ensembl:ncRNA C06A1.12 ncRNA
CACCUUCAACAGGCAAAUUUUGUUUCAUUAACCACCUCAUACUUUCCUCGCUGUUCCAUGAUCCCUUUUCUCAAUUGUUUUUGACUAAUGAUUCCUUCCCACUUGUGUAAUUUUACAAUGUUACAAUUGCAAUAAGCUUACCCAUACUCACAUAGUUUCCCAGUGUAUUAAUAUUGCCCAUUCUUGUUAU